UCGGGAAUAUUGGACAAUGGGGGCAACCCUGAUCCAGCAAUACCGCGUGUGUGAAGAAGGCCUGCGGGUUGUAAAGCACUUUUAGUAGGGAAGAUAAUGACGUUACCUACAGAAAAAGCACCGGCUAACUCCGUGCCAGCAGCCGCGGUAAUACGGAGGGUGCAAGCGUUAAUCGGAAUUACUGGGCGUAAAGCGUGCGUAGGCGGCUCAUUAAGUCAGAUGUGAAAUCCCCGGGCUCAACCUGGGAACUGCAUCUGAUACUGGGGAGCUAGAAUGUGGGAGAGGGAAGUGGAAUUUCCGGUGUAGCGGUGAAAUGCAUAGAGAUCGGAAGGAACAUCAGUGGCGAAGGCGACUUCCUGGACCAACAUUGACGCUGAGGCACGAAAGCGUGGGUAGCAAACAGG
rnacentral:rRNA from 1 species